ACUCCUACGGGAGGCAGCAGUGGGGAAUAUUGCACAAUGGGCGCAAGCCUGAUGCAGCCAUGCCGCGUGUGUGAAGAAGGCCUUCGGGUUGUAAAGCACUUUCAGUCAGGAGGAAAGGUUAGUAGUUAAUACCUGCUAGCUGUGACGUUACUGACAGAAGAAGCGCCGGCUAANACCUNGU
rnacentral:rRNA from 1 species